rnacentral:rRNA from 1 species
UACGGGGGGAGCAAGCGUUGUUCGGAUUUACUGGGCGUAAAGGGCGCGUAGGCGGUCAGCACAAGUCAGUUGUGAAAUCUCCGAGCUUAACUCGGAAAGGUCAACUGAUACUGUGCGACUAGAGUGCAGAAGGGGCAACUGGAAUUCUCGGUGUAGCGGUGAAAUGCGUAGAUAUUGGGAAGAACACCGGAGGCGAAGGCGGGUUGCUGGGCCGACACUGACGCUGAGGCGCGAAAGCCAGGGGAGCAAACGGG